CUAGAGUUCUGGGCCGCACGCGCGCUACACUGACAGGGCCAGCGAGUACAUCACCUUGGCCGAGAGGUCCGGGUAAUCUUGUUAAACCCUGUCGUGCUGGGGAUAGAGCAUUGCAAUUAUUGCUCUUCAACGAGGAAUGCCUAGUAGGCACGAGUCAUCAGCUCGUGCCGAUUACGUCCCUGCCCUUUGUACACACCGCCCGUCGCUACUACCGAUUGAAUGGCUCGGUGAGGCCUUCGGACUGGCCCAGGAGGGUUGGCAACGACCCCCCAGGGCCGGAAAGUUGGUCAAACCCGGUCAUUUAGAGGAAGUAAAAGUCGUAACAAGGUUUCCGUAGGUGAACCUGCGGAAGGAUCAUUACCGAGUGUAGGGUUCCUAGCGAGCCCAACCUCCCACCCGUGUUUACUGUACCUUAGUUGCUUCGGCGGGCCCGCCAUUCAUGGCCGCCGGGGGCUCUCAGCCCCGGGCCCGCGCCCGCCGGAGACACCACGAACUCUGUCUGAUCUAGUGAAGUCUGAGUUGAUUGUAUCGCAAUCAGUUAAAACUUUCAACAAUGGAUCUCUUGGUUCCGGCAUCGAUGAAGAACGCAGCGAAAUGCGAUAACUAGUGUGAAUUGCAGAAUUCCGUGAAUCAUCGAGUCUUUGAACGCACAUUGCGCCCCCUGGUAUUCCGGGGGGCAUGCCUGUCCGAACGUCAUUGCUGCCCAUCAAGCACGGCUUGUGUGUUGGGUCGUCGUCCCCUCUCCGGGGGGGACGGGCCCCAAAGGCAGCGGCGGCACCGCGUCCGAUCCUCGAGCGUAUGGGGCUUUGUCACCCCCUUCUGUAAGCCCCGGCCCGGCGCUUUGCCGAACGCCAAAUCAAUCUUUUUCCAGGGUUGACCUUCCGAAUCAAGGUAGGGGAAAACCCCCUUGAACUUUAACCUUUAUUCCAUUAACGGGAGGGAAAAAAAAAACCCAACCCGGGGAAUUGGCCUCCAUUAACCGCCAAGUGGAAACCCCCAAAAACCUCCA
rnacentral:rRNA from 1 species